rnacentral:lncRNA from 1 species
CUUGGCUAGAGAAUCCACGUGGGAGUUGGGUGUUCUGCACAAAGGAACUGUUUGGGGAGUUAUUCCCUGGCUGAUCAUUGGAAUGGAGCAAGGCGGAAAGGAACAGGAAACUAUCCAAUCACUUCAGAUCCUGCUCUGGUCACCUUAGAUCUAGUGAUGUUGGCACAGCACCCCAGCCAUUAGGCUCACUGGAGACUAGCAACUCCAAGUCAGGCAUAUGUAUGCAUGCCUAUAACCCAGCACUCAUGGAAACAGAGGCAGGAGGAUCAAACUUUUGAGCCCAGGCUGACCAACUUAGCAAGACUCUGUCUCAAAAUAAAAGAUAAAAAUGGGCCGGGG